GCUUAGCUCAGCUGGUUCAGAGCGUCUGCCUUACAAGCAGAGGGUCGGGGGUUCGAAUCCCUCAGCGCCCA
rnacentral:tRNA from 1 species